rnacentral:rRNA from 1 species
AUGUUGGUUCAUCUUCCCCAGCUCAUUUGUUUGUCCCCCCCAUUGCGAGUAACCACACCGUUCAUUUCACACUGCAGAAGAGGAGCAGACGGCCGCUUGAAGAUUAAUACUUCUUCUUUUAUUGCCUCACUACUACAAUCUCCCGGUAUAUCUUCCACCUCCGCCGCUCUACCUUCCGGUUCUCAUCACGGCUGCGCCGCCGAGGAGUCUCAGAGCUUGUGGGGCGCUGCAGGAGGGAAGGUUUCAAAUUUAUUUUAUGCCCAAGGAUAUUUGAAGUUGUGCUUGUUAAGAACUAGGCUCUUGCAGCCUCUCUAUAUCCAAUUCUACUACUGA